rnacentral:snoRNA from 1 species
UUAUCAUGAUUAAACCCAAUGAUAUAACAAAUGACUGAGGAUGCAUAUGCAAGACAAAAAUAAAUUUAGGAAUUCUUCGUUUAUGAUUUAUAC